UAAAUAUUGAUAUACAGAGUGUGGGAGGCUGACAGAAAAUAGCAGGCUUUAAUUCUCACCUCUGUGGAAAUCGCUGGCCCUGAGAAACAGAAAUAUUGCAAUGGAUGAAGAGCAAUAUUUCACUUCUGAAGAAAAUAUCCCCCUAUCAUCACGAUCCUGGCUCUGGAAGAAGAGGAAUUUCAUUUCUCCUGCUGCUAAAAGCCAAAGCAAAACAGAAGCAUGGGUGCAAACAGUCAUACCUUCAGUCUCUCAAGUCCCUGAAGAUGCAGUAAGGAGUGAUGCUGAACCUAAAUCACAGACCACCAUUCACUCAUCUGUUCCUCUACCAGGCAGUGUUAUUGAUUAUUCAGAUGAGAUGCAGGAACAGCCUUCAUGUGUGAUUAAAAGUGUUAUGACUGAAGAGGAACCUGAUCAGAAUGGGCAGAGAGACUCUUGGCUGCACAGACUUGGAAUAAGUACAAACAAGUGGUCGUUUCUGAAUUCCCUGAUUGGGUGGAGUGAGUACAGAGCUACAGAAAAAGUAGACCAGCCAAACACGUCUGUAGUUUGUUCUGCUGACAACCAUAAAGUGACUGAGCUGGAGGAAUGCUGGAGGAAAGAAGAACUGUCAUAUAUUCCGUACAAAUUAGCUAAAUCAUAUAUCGCCAAGAUUGUAGAAGAUAUGCAGCAAAUGAAAGUCAAACACAUGAAAAUAAUCAAAGAGCUAGACAACAUAAGGAAAGAAAACCAGGAGCAGACUAUAACUACCAUGAAGAAACAUUAUGGUGAUAAAAUGAGGAGUCUGAAGGCCCAGUUAGAAGCUUACCAAGAGCUAAUGAACAAGAGGAGCACACAUUGGCAAGAUACUAUUAAGAGUCUGAGGGAAAGAAACAGACAACUGAGCCAAGAAAAGGAAGACCUUCUUCACCAAAUAAAUCAACAAACAGAGAAAUGGGAAGAAGAAAAGACUUGGAUUCUAGGAAAUUUGUCUAAAGACCUAGAUCAUCUUUACACCCAGCACACACUGACUUUGCAGGAACUUCAAAACAUCAGUCUAGAUGUGGACAAAGUACAUGACCUUGUGAAUUUACAGAUAAAAAUUCUUCAGAAAAAAUCUGAAAAGACGGAAACAGAAAAGGCAGAUGUGUCAGUGGUUUUAGAAUUAAAGGUAGAACAGGUAGCUGAUGAAGAGGUGAAGCCUGAAUGCUUGCUGGAUAAAGGACAUCUUUGGCAAGCGCAGGCCAUGCUGCAAAAGAUACAAGAAUCUUUGGAUAAACGAGAGAAAGAAGUCACUGAGCUUCUACAAAGUGAGAGAAGAUAUAACAAAGCAAUGAAACCUCAAAUCACAGUGCUAAUAUUCUUGAAAACUCUUGUCCAGAGAGUUCACAGCAUAUACUGUGAUGUCCCUGAGGCACAGCAGUACAUCAGUCAGCAUAUCAGGAAGAACGAGGAUGAAAGCAUUGAUCGGAAAGAAGCCUUUAAUAAUGCUCAGGCUGACAUUCUCUCCUAUGAAGUAUUUUAUGGAAAUGAACCUAUGGAUGACAAAAGGACACAGCUCUUGACGAAACUUUUCAGAAAUCUUGGGAGAGCAAAGUCUGAAUUAGAAUAUGCUGAAACAGAGAAGAUUGUGUUUGAUUGUAUCCAAACAGGGGAAAUCCCCAACUGGAUUAAAAGGGAUUGUCUUUAUGUAGCCUUGACAGCAGACCCAGGARAA
ensembl:lncRNA